CUAAAUCUGUAAAAAAGUCAACAUUAGUUUAUAGAUGAUUUCUUCUUAUACUGACUGCUUGAUUUUUUGGGUUAUUAAGUUGUUUAUUUGUUCUGGUCUUUUAAUUGAUUAGAAUUCACUAAGGACAUUAUAUUUCCUAUUUGUUGAUUCAGAUUUUGCAAUUGUGAUAUGGGGAAAAAAAAGACAACCAUGUCUUGAGAGAAAACAAGGGGGAAAAAAAGUAAAGAAAAUGGAUAUUGAAAAAAAUGAAUUAGAGAAACAAAUUAUAGUCUUUUCUUGCACAAAUUUGUUUCCACCCUAAAAGUUUAUAAUGGUUUACCUUUAUAAAUUGUUAUUUGGAUGGAGAGUUGUCUCAUUAACACUCAUACCACAUCUUCAUAUUGUGAAC
rnacentral:lncRNA from 1 species